AUCUGACCCACCUUCUCUCUUCACGCAUCUGUUUUGGUUUAGAUUGGUUGGUUGCUUUAUUCCCCUUCUUGGGUCCAAUAACAAAAUUGCAAAGUUCUUUGGAAUCGGAAGGAAUAUAAAUUUUUUAUUUUGAUUUUGUGUCAGUUCACGUUGCUCUUUGGUUCUGUCUUUCUUGCUUUCCUUCUUUCUUUCUUUGAGAGCACUUGUUGAGGGCACGACCCACUUUCCUUCAAAAGACUUUAUAUUUGUUCAACUGACACAAAACCCGUUUCUGUAUGCAUGUUUUGAGCAUUUUUAGCGAGGAAAAUUCCCUUCUUUCCUCUUUUCUCUCGUACCCAAAAGCCAAUUUUCUGUAAUUCUUGGUUGUUUGAAGUGGGUUUUCCCAUUAGAUCACAGGUCCAGCUCUUCAUUGGGUGUUCUUUUACACCCAUGAUGGAGUUCGUGGGCAGAGCUGUGAAGAAAGAGUUCAAAGGCCGUGGAAUUCAUUCGGGUGUUGUGAAAUCAUUCGAUAGCUCUUCGGGGUUCUUCGAGGUGGAGUUCGAAGGUGGUGAUUCUGAAGAAUUGGAUUUGUCUGAGGUGUCUUUGCUUUUGGAGGGUCAAUCUCAACCAGUGGAGAAGAGGUCUUGCCGAGGCCGUAAGCCCAAGAAGCGUCGAAGAAUUGAGAGCAAAUGUGAAAUUGGCGGUGCGUCAGCUAAUGCUGGGAGGAGUUUGGCGCUAGAUAAAGGGAAUCCCGAUGAAACCCUAGAAAUGGGCUUUGAGGUUAGUGUUGUUCGUGUUAAGGAUUUAAAUGAGAGUUUUAAUUUGAAUGAUGAAGUCAAGAAAAACCAACUGAUAGUUGAUGGGGUUAGUGGGAAUUUGAAUGGGAGUCUCGAGGGAAAUAAGAUUUUGGAUAUGAAUGUUACUCUUAGCGAUGGGGUUGAAGAUAUUUUAGAGAAGAGAGACAAUUCUGAGAAGGAUUUUGAAGGAAAUGGGUCGGGCAAUGGGAAUCUUUGUAGAAAUGGAGAUUCCAGAGAUGGCUUUGAUUUGAAUGCGAGGUCUAGUUCAAAUGAGUGGUUGAAUUUAAAUGACAGCAGUGAUCAUCAUGCCAGUCCUAGCAAAAAUGCUAACUUAGAGAGAAGGGGCUCCAUUGAUUUGAAUCUGUAUGUCAAUGCUGACUUUGACGAGAAUCUUACUGGGGGCGAUGUAAGUUGUUCGCAGGUUGAAACAAAGAAAAGGGAAUGGGAUUUUGACUUGAAUUUAGAGGUUAAUGAUGUGCAUGUGGAUAAUAACAAUAAUGGUGGAGAAGAAAUUGCUUCUUCUGGGAUGGGCGAAGCAAUAAUAGACAAAAUUUGUGAUGAAGCGGUAAUAGACCAAGUUUGUGAUGAAGCAGCAAUGGACCAAGUUUAUGAUAACGUUCAAGAAAUUCGAGAGAAAACUAUUGAAUCUGAGAAUGAAGAUGAAAAUUUGCAAGAAGUUCACAUAGAUAUCAAGGAAGAAUUGCCAAAAGAAAGCUAUAGUUCCGGUGGAGAUGUGACUGUUGAAGCUUCUCUUAGGGUUUCGGAUCUUAACUGUGUUAAUGAUGGUAAUUUGGUCAAUAUUGACGUGAAGGAUGUGAGCUCUGAGGCUGGUCCUCAAAUAAUUGAUGGUUGCCAAGGCAAUUCUGAAGGUCAAUGCAAACAACGUGGCAGGAGAAAGAAAAGAAAGGUUUUGGAUGGUGUUAAUACACCUGAUACAGUUUUGAGGAGAAGUACCCGUAGAGGGAUCAUUCAGAAAACUGUCCCAAUUGCAUCAUCUGAUAUAUCCUCCCCUGUAGCUAGUGUGGUAACUGAGGAAAAACAGGUAGCUUAUGAUGGUUCUGACAUGCCUGUUGGCCUUCCUUUUAAGUUGCAGUUACCACCCUCUUCGAAAAACUUGAAUCUUGAUGAUAUUCCCAUCCUUGACCUGUUCUCUAUUUAUGCCUGUUUGAGAUCAUUCAGUACGCUAUUGUUUCUUAGCCCAUUUGAGUUGGAUGAUUUUGUGGCAGCGCUUAAGUGCAAAUCUCCAACUAUAUUAUUUGAUAAUAUACAUCUGUCUGUUUUGCAAACUUUAAGAAAGCAUUUGGAGGAUCUCUCUACUGAAGGUUCAGAAUCUGCUUUGAGUUGUCUAAGGAGUCUUAACUGGGAUAUGCUAGACUUGAUUACGUGGCCUAUUUUUAUGGUUGAGUAUCUAUUGAUUCAUGGUUCAGGUUUGAAACCUGGUGUUGAUCUAUGUCGCUUGAAAUUGUUAAAAAAUGAUUACUACAAACUACCUACAGGCAUUAAGAUUGAAAUUCUUCGCUGUCUAUGUGAUGAUAUGAUUGAAGUGGAAGCCAUUAGGUCAGAAAUUAACAGAAGGUCUUUGGCAGCUGAGCCAGAGAUUAUUCGUGAUAGAAGCCUCAAGUCAGAAGUCUACAAAAAGAAGAAGAUUUCAGCAAAUCCUUCCAUUAAUUCUUGUCAGUCAGAGGACACUAUGGACGACACCGCAGACUGGAAUAGUGAUGAAUGCUGUCUGUGCAAAAUGGAUGGUAGCUUAAUAUGCUGUGAUGGCUGUCCUGCUGCAUAUCACUUGAAGUGUGUAGGAAUAGCCAAUGAUCUCUUGCCAGAGGGUGACUGGUUUUGUCCUGAGUGUGCCAUUGACAGGCACAAGUCCUGGAUGAAAACACAAAAAUCACUUCGGGGAGCUGAAUUUUUAGGAGUGGAUCCUCAUGGCCGUACAUACUUUAGUAGCUGUGGCUUCCUAUUGGUGUCUGAUUCAUGUGACACUGAGUCCUCUGUCAGUUACUACCACAGGAAUGAUCUGGAUGUUGUUAUUGAAGCUCUUAGGUCAUCAUAUUCAUCGUACAGUGACAUACUAAUGACUAUUUACAAGCACUGGGAUAUUACUUUCACCUUAAACGGAAAAAUUAAUAAAUCUGACUCUCUGCAUUGUACAAGUAAAUAUUAUAGUAAUUUUUGCCAUGAAGGUGCAAAGUCGGCAAACCUGUUUGAAGCGGAGACUAUACUGGAAGGUUCUACUGUGAAUAAAUCAGCUCUAGAUAGUCAGCUAAACUCUAGCAUUCAGGAUAUUCAAACGCAACAGGCUACUGUUUCAAACGGUUAUGAAUUUUUAAAUCAGGCUAAAGUAUCAGGGAAGGUCUCUUCUGGGGAAGAUCCUUCUUUAUUACAUCCCUGCCUAGAUGGGAUGCAAGAGAGCAAUACAAGAUGUGCAGGUCUUGAACAUUCCUUAUCCACGAGCAUUAGAAACGGGGAUUCCCUUGAAGAUGAAAGUGACGAUGGUUACUCUAACUUCUAUAGUUUUGCUCAAACAGCGUCUUCAGUGGCUGAUGAGUUUAUGCGUAAAGCAUCUGAGAAAGAUAAAAUUAAAGAAAAAUCUACCAUGUCAGAAGAAGAAAUAAUUGCAGCACAGAUGAAGGUAAUUUUGAAGAAAACAAGCAAUUUCGGUUGGCCGUUUAUUCAAAAUAUUAAUGUAGCUACACAGAAAGAAAAAUGUGGAUGGUGCUUUCCUUGCAAAGCUUCCAGUGAUGAGUUGGACUGCUUGUUUAAGACAAACAAUGCUUGGAUUGAGGAGGGGUUGGCAGUAGAUGUUCCUGGUCUUCAACUCAAAAGGAAAGGAAAAGGCCACCUCAGGGAUGUUAUAUGUCAAAUUCUGUCAAUUGAGAAUCGUUUGCAAGGGUUACUCUUGGGUCCAUGGCUGAAUUCUCAUCAUUCUAAGCUUUGGCGUGAAGGUCUUUUGGCAUUUGAUUUUAAUUCUGUGAAACAUCUAUUAUUAAUGAUAGAAUCAAAUUUACGGCAUCCUGCUAUAUCAGCUGAAUGGUUUAAGUUUGUCGACUCUGUUAACACCUUGGGUUCAGCUUCUCUUUUCGUUACCAGUUCAUUACGUGCCACUAGACAUGGAAUUAGUAGAAAAAGGGGUAGGUUUUCAGAUAUCGAGUCAAAUGGCUCUUCAAAUGGUUCUAGUGGAUUAAGCAUGUUCUGGUGGAGGGGUGGCCAGCUUUCUCGUCGCAUUUUUAACUGGAAGGUCUUACCUCGCUCUUUGAUUUCAAAGGCUGCACGACAAGCUGGCUGUACAAAGAUACCUGGAAUUGCAUAUCCUGAGGGUUCAGAAUGUGCGAGAAGGAGCAGAUGUAUUGCCUGGCGAGCUGCUGUGGAAGCAUCAACAAGUGUGGAGCAGCUUGCAUUCCAGGUUAGAGAGUUUUAUUCAAACAUCCGGUGGUAUGAUGUUGAAAAUACCCAUCCUCUUCCCACCGUUGAAAAGGAAUUAAGAAAAUCAAUCAGGCUUUUCAAGAAGGUAAUCGUGCGCCGUAAGUCUGUUGAAGGGAACUUGGUAAAAUAUCUCCUUGAUUUUGGAAAGAGAAGAGCUAUUCCUGACAUUGUUAAAAAACAUGGGGUUAAGCUUGAGGAUUCCAGUAACGAGAGAAAGAGAUAUUGGCUAAAUGAGACUUUUGUUCCUUUGCAUCUGGUGAAGAAUUUUGAGGAGAAAAGAGUUGCUCGCAGAGCAAAUGAGGUCAAACCCAAAAUUGUGGAUUUGGGUAUAGUGAAGUCCUCCAGGAAGAAGGGAUUUGCAUAUUUGUUUUCUAGAGCAGAUAAACUUGAUUUAUAUCAAUGUGGCCGCUGUAACAAAGUUGUCCCUGUCAGGGAAGCUGUUAGUUGCAGAUAUUGUCAAGGAAUUUUUCACAAAAAGCAUGUCAAGAAGUAUGUGGAAUCCAUUGCAGCAAAAUGUACAUAUACCUGCCACAGUUGUUGGGAUGGUAUAUCUGUGAAGUCUAAUGGAAAAAGAGGAAAAAGUGGUGUAAAAGGAGGGAAGUUGCACAUGGUGAAAGGCAAGAGACCUAGUGAUCAACGUGCACUGCGAUUGAAAAACAGAAAAAAAGCGCUGAGGGCUGGAAAACAAGCACAGACACAAAACAAUUCCAAAGUUCCGACAGGUAUCCCUCUACGUCGUUCAGCAAGACAAGCUAAAUACUCAUCGCUUCAAAAGAAAAAGCAAGAUAAAAAGGUUGGAGGAAGUGUCAGAAGGAAAAAGAUGAAGUCCAGGAAGGGAACACCAAAGAAACGUAAAAGAGAGACUUCUUUGCAGAAGAAAAGGACUUUGGCGUGCCAUAGCUUCUGGCUUAAUGGUCUCUUCCUUUCUAGGAAGCCUGGUGACGAACGAGUGACACACUUCAGGGAGAAAAAGCUUCUUAUAACCCCAAGGAUUUCUGUGAACCAUGAUAAACCAAAAUGCAAUCUUUGUUCUGAAACAGAACAUGCAUCUGGUUUGAAUUAUAUUGCUUGUCAAAAUUGUGGAGCGUGGUUUCAUGGAGAUGCUUUUGGUCUUGAUCAGACUAAAAUAGAUUUAUUGAUUGGAUUUAGGUGUCAUAUAUGUCGGAAAAGGAUGCCUCCCGUCUGCCCCCAUCAAAUGAAUCAGAAGCCUCAUAUUUUGGAUGAGGUACAAUAUAAUACUUUGGUUUAUUGUUCUGCGGAACCUGUGCCCUGCCAUUUAUAGCUGUGAUACAUCAAAUAUUGUAGGAGAGAUUACUAUGUUUCUUAUGGGGAAAAUAGAAAGAUAUACAAAUAAAGAAAAAUGACCCAAGAAAGAAAAGUUUCUGUAUUCAGAGAGAUGAUUUUACUGACUUAGGAACUUGAGAUUUCAAAAUUAGUUGAUUCCAGUGUUACAAUGGCCUGAAGCUUUAUAAAUCCAGAUAGUUUUUGAUGUAUACCAAAUGAGAGAAUUUUAUUAAUGUUUAAAAGUUGUGAAUACAAGAACUCUUUUUAAUUAUAUAUAGAACUAUUAGAUUAAAGAUUUGACCAUAAUACACUAUGUCUACUACAUCAGUUUUUGUCCUGUCCUGAUUACUUCCUCCUCCCAAAUAGCUGUAAAUCUGUUUAUCAAACGUUUCUUCUCCCAUUUUUGGUCAUUGCUGUGCUUGUUUUAUCCUGUUUCCUUUGACAUAUUUGAAUUCUUUUACAAUAAAAUGAGGAAACUAUCCUACCCAUUUGAAUAACCUCGUUUAACUGAAACUUCAUACAAAUGCCUCUACUUGUGGAUUUCCUGCGUUCAAAUUAUCUAUAAAAUAGUUCAAGUUUUUCCACCACAUUUUUCCAAUGGAACUAUAUCAUUAUUUUCUUUUCUUUUUACUUCUGCUUAGAACUUUUCCCUUCCUAGAUAUGUAAACCAGAAUAGAUGUUUUUCUUUGGACUCUGUAGACUUUAUCUUUUCCAGUAUUAUGCAUGCCCUCACGUGGCCAUUUCUUUACUUUUCGGUGUAUUAUGUAUUCAGCCCUUUUCUAUUUCGUUUUUCAGUGCACUUUGAUAACCAUUUAUUGUACCACAGCCUCAGAUAUGUGAUCUCAUUUUGACCAUUGAUUGAAAUUCACAGUGAAAGCAAGAUGGCAUUUUUUACGUCAGUUGUUUCUAUGGAUUGGCGUUUCCUUUGCUAGACUCGUAUCUUUUGUCUCAGUAGGAUUACUACUGAGACUUUAUUUUGUACUUUUAUCUUUUGUUAUCCUCUUUGUAUUCUUUAAUUUUUCUUAAUUAAAGCUACCUCUUUAUAAAAUUCAGCAGGAUUUCUUCACUUUUCUGUUAAUAACUAGAUUUGUAGUGAAGUUUUGUUUUUUAUCAAAUAUAAUAUAUGUAUCUGACUUCUUGGAUCCUUAGUAUGGAUAACCUGGUAAAGUGAAGACCUAAUUUCAUGUUCUUUUGAAUAUAGUGAGAUACUUCUUGUAGCCCUGCAUGAUUAGUGAUAGAGAGUGCGCAUUUAAGUUGCAAUGAGAUAAGUUAUCUUCCUGGAUAACAAAGAGAAGAAUUAAACUAUUCUGUAAGAAAUGAGAUGAGAAGAAAGUGCAAAGCUCUACACAGUAGCCAGCAGGAAGAUGCUAUUCAGAAAGAUGAGGCAGAUGGUCAUUCCUGAGCUAAAUAGUUGUAAUCUUAGGGGAGAUGUAUCAAAGCUGUGGGUUAAGUGGUAUCUCUCCCGUAGGAGACCGAUGUUAUAAAUAUACAUGUUUAAUUAAUUAUGUAUGGCGAGGCUAAUAGCUUUACAUGGUUGCUUCUGUUUCAUAUUUCUAUUCCUAAUUUACAUGCCAGAAAGGUAAAAAGAGAAAAUGGAGUAAGUUUUCUUAUUGUGCUUUCUCUUCCUCUCUCUUCUCCUCUCCAUGGAGGAGAAUGCAAUGAUGGAACAAAUUCUUUUUCUGAGGUUUUAAACUCUUACUCUUUCACCUUCAUUUCAUUACUUGUUUUUUAUAUCAGACUAUCUAUUUGAACAUGGAAGCCCAUACAGCGCCACCUGUUCUUUUAUGUGUACGCUCUGAACAGAAAUUUAAAUUGCAUUUUCUAGUAGACCGAUUAUCUUAAUGUACAUAUUUUUUUUCCUUUCUUCAAAUGAUCUUCGCUAUUCUUAUAUUUCAUUCCUGAACUUCUAGAUAAACAAUAAUGAGAUUACCAACGUGAACCUUUUUAAUGUAUUCCUUCCAUAAAUUAUCCUUUGGAUGUACACAAAAUGGUGUUGACUUCUUGUCUUGUUUUAAAUGCAGGUUCAGAACUAGCGACACUAAAUUGGACCAAUCUACUUCAUUAAAACGAAGACCUUCAUGGCCAACUUCCAGAUACCACAAGUUCUCAACGCUCGGCGUGGUAUGGUUUGAACUCACAACAUGAGAACAAGAACGUUUGCCAAAUUGAACAUGAAGUGGUGGCAUUGGAGUGACCUAUUCAUUUUUUAGGUAGCGAUGACAGUAUUAUUGCAGUUAUAAACUAACCACAUGAAUAUAGGCAUUGUAUUAGGCUGGCCAACUUAUAAAUAGCAAUCCCGGUCAGCAUUAACACUCUCUUAGGUAGUCGAUUCGGCUUCUAACGCAUGUAUCGGAAGUUGGAAAUUGGUUCCUCAUUGAACACCGACUCUACUGAUUUACAAAUACUGAUGCUGUCUUUUUGUUGAGUCAAUCUCAGGAUUCGGAGGGGUUCACGAAUACUGAAGUUUGUAGGUAGAAUAGAUCUAUAGAAAGAUUGUAGUUACUGGCUGGGGAGCUGUUUGUAACAAUGGACUUCAUUGUGAAUCCACUGAAAUUGUGCAAACUUUCAGCCAAUAAAUUUCAAUGUCAAAUUCGUUUUUCUGCUUCUGAUUGCAAUAA